rnacentral:rRNA from 1 species
UACGUAGGGGGCAAGCGUUGUCCGGAAUUAUUGGGCGUAAAGAGCGCGUAGGCGGUCCGAUAAGUCGGCUGUGAAAGUCAGGGGCUCAACCCUUGAAAGCCGGCCGAUACUGUCGGACUAGAGUCCGGAAGAGGCAAGUGGAAUUCCCGGUGUAGCGGUGAAAUGCGCAGAUAUCGGGAGGAACACCAAUGGCGAAGGCAGCUCGCUGGGACGUGACUGACGCUGAGACGCGAAAGCGUGGGGAGCAAACAGG